GACGAACCGUGCGAACGUUGUUCGGAAUCACUGGGCUUAAAGGGCGCGUAGGCGGGCUGCCAAGUCUGGGGUGAAAGCCCGAGGCUCAACCUCGGAACUGCCUUCGAUACUGCGGGUCUCGAGUCCGGGAGAGGUGAGUGGAAUUCCUAGUGUAGAGGUGAAAUUCGUAGAUAUUAGGAAGAACACCAGUGGCGAAGGCGGACUCACUGGCCCGGUACUGACGCUGAGGCGCGAAAGCGUGGGGAGCAAACAGGG
rnacentral:rRNA from 1 species